rnacentral:sRNA from 1 species
ACCUUUGGCGAGAGCUGUGAACAGCGGUGUCCUCACUGCCGACAUGGGGAGGCCUGUGAGCCAGAUACUGGCCACUGUCAGCGCUGUGAUCCUGGCUGGCUGGGGCCCAGGGGGCCUGUGAUGCUGUGACAGGGGACUGUGUCUGCAGUGCCGGCUACUGGGGGCCCAGCUGCAACGCCUCCUGCCCAGCCGGCUUCCAUGGAAACAACUGCUCAGUUCCUUGUGAAUGCUCAGAGGGACACUGCCACCCCAUCUCUGGGUCCUGCCAGCCAGGCUCUCGAAGUCGGGACACCGCCCUCAUCGUGGGCAGCCUUGUGCCUCUGCUGCUGCUCUUCCUGGGCCUCGCCUGCUGUGCCUGCUGCUGCUGGGCCACCCGGUCAGACCUCAAGGACAGGUGAACGCCAGCCCGUCCCUUCCCCACACAGCGCAGGCCACGGGGUGGGAACAGGGGGGCAUCUGGUUUCCUUGUGGGGUGGGGAGGGCUGACCUUGUCGCCCACGUGGGUCAGAGGUGUUGGGGGUGGGGAGGGCUGACCUUGUCGCCCACGUGGGUCAGAGGUGUUGGGGGUAGUUGGCAAUGGCCGUGGCCUGGAGACACUGGAGACACCGGGUCAGCUGCCUGCCCUCCUCGGAAGCCUUCGAUGAGGAAGUUUCUGAGUUGCGUGGGCACCAGGCUGGCGAACCGGAGCCUGCAGCGGGAGGCAGAGAGCUGACACCGGCGGGGACCAGAGGAGGAGGGCUGGGAGCACCGAAAGAGCAGCCCGGCUCUGGGCCAGGAGGGAAGGAGUCCAGGCCUCAGAUGGCCCACAAAGGAAAGUGACAUCAAUGUCUGUGCAGUGGUUUAGCAGAGAAUGUAGCUGCCUGAGAGACGGAGAGGGGAGGAAGGGUUGGGUUGGUGGGGCCCGCGCAGGGGGCUUACGCAGAGCUUUGUUCCUUUAUGAAACCUCUUCAUAUUCCAGGCUCCUUUGAGACUCCCAACAGCGUGGAGGUUUGCAACAGGGAGUGUGGGGCUGG